AUUGAACGCUGGCGGCAGGCCUAACACAUGCAAGUCGAACGGCAGCGGGGGGAAGCUUGCUUCCCCGCCGGCGAGUGGCGGACGGGUGAGUAAUGCCUGGGAAGCUGCCCAAUCGAGGGGGAUACCAGUUGGAAACGACUGCUAAUACCGCAUAUGCCCUGAGGGGGAAAGGUGGGGAUCUUCGGACCUAUCGCGAUUGGAUGCACCCAGGUGGGAUUAGCUAGUUGGUGAGGUAACGGCUCACCAAGGCGACGAUCUCUAGCUGGUCUGAGGGGAUGACCAGCCACACUGGAACUGAGGCACGGUCCAGACUCCUACGGGAGGCAGCAGUGGGGAAUAUUGCACAAUGGGGGAAACCCUGAUGCAGCCAUGCCGCGUGUGUGAAGAAGGCCUUCGGGUUGUAAAGCACUUUCAGCGAGGAGGAAAGGGUGGAAGCUAAUACCUUUCAUCUGUGACGUUACUCGCAGAAGAAGCACCGGCUAACUCCGUGCCAGCCGCCGCGGUAA
rnacentral:rRNA from 1 species